UGGGUCUAAAACAGAAAGACUGAUUCUGAGC
rnacentral:piRNA from 1 species